UACGGGGGGGGCAAGCGUUGUUCGGAAUUACUGGGCGUAGAGGGCUCGUAGGCGGCCAACUAAGUCGGACGUGAAAUCCCUCGGCUUAACCGGGGAAUGGCGUCCGAUACUGGAUGGCUUGAGUCCGGGAGAGGGAUGCGGAAUUCCAGGUGUAGCGGUGAAAUGCGUAGAUAUCUGGAGGAACACCGGUGGCGAAGGCGGCAUCCUGGACCGGCACUGACGCUGAGGAGCGACAGCCAGGGGAGCAAUCGGG
rnacentral:rRNA from 1 species